UUGAGAUUCUUGUUUGCACAAUUGAUAUGUUUGCUUUAUAUUUCAUUCCGUGCAAGGUCCUUUAAGGUGAUCUGCUUAUGCUUCAUACUUGCUCUAGAGAAGGAUACGCCAUGUAAACAAGUUCUAGGAUCCGAAGAAAUCGUCUCGAUAUUUAUUUGCUUAUUAUCUUGGCGGUGUGCUCAAUUUGACGGUUAAUUGAUAAUUGCUGGUAUUUUUUUUUUUUUUUUUUUUGUAAUUGAGGAUGAAUCAGGGUGCAACAGAGCAGCCUUAUAGCAUAUACCCGGGCUUCUCUUGUCCAAGCCACAUAGAGUAAGCUCAACUUCCUGGAUUUGUCUCACCGAAGAACAGUCAAAGAAGGCGAAGGUUGUUCGAUCUGCUUACUUUGAGUUAAGUUUGUAAGGUUGACUGUAACGGUCCGAAUGUAUCGAGCAACAUAAGUUGGGGAAGAAACACUUAAAGAACUUCGGAGAAGUUAAAAACAUGCUUACCCUUACCGUGUAACAUAGGUUCUUCUUCUUCGGCUGGACCAACCAUUGCAAGGCUAAGAAGAACGGGAAGAAAGGUGCGGAAUUAACAGAAGGGUUUAGAAUCAAAGAGACGGAAAGUCAUGGAAUGUGGGGCCACAAAUGAGUCUAAUUAGAUUGUGUAGAAUAUGCAACGUUGUUUGUAAUAGUGACAAG
rnacentral:lncRNA from 1 species